AUUUGAUGUAACCGUUAUUGUUGAAAGGGUGGGCAUGUUUGGAAAUAGGGUCAAAAUCGCACAUUUCGCUUCAAUUUGAGGGGAAAACGAGCCUGGUGACCCCCUUUUUUCUUUGCAUUUUUGGAUUCAGCAUAAAAAGAUCUACAAAAUAUGUGAAAAUAAAAAAAUUCUACCGGGGGUCCUUAUUGGGGUGAGCCACCUUAAGC
rnacentral:lncRNA from 1 species